GAUGAACGCUGGCGGCGUGCCUAAUACAUGCAAGUCGAGCGAACAGACGAGGAGCUUGCUCCUCUGACGUUAGCGGCGGACGGGUGAGUAACACGUGGAUAACCUACCUAUAAGACUGGGAUAACUUCGGGAAACCGGAGCUAAUACCGGAUAACAUGUUGAACCGCAUGGUUCAACAGUGAAAGACGGUCUUGCUGUCACUGAGAGAUGGAUCCGCGCCGCAUUAGCUAGUUGGUAAGGUAACGGCGUACCAAGGCAACGAUGCGUAGCCGACCUGAGAGGGUGAUCCGCCACACUGGAACUGAGACACGGUCCAGACUCCUACGGGAGGCAGCAGUAGGGAAUCUUCCGCAAUGGGCGAAAGCCUGACGGAGCAACGCCGCGUGAGUGAAGAAGGUAUUCGGAUCGUAAAACUCUGUUAUUAGGGAAGAACAAAUGUGUAAGUAACUAUGCACGUCCUGACGGUACCUAAUCAGAAAGCAACGGCUAACUACGUG
rnacentral:rRNA from 1 species